rnacentral:lncRNA from 1 species
UCUCUUCGUCUCCGUUGGCCCCGUCGGUGGUAAGAACCCUAAAUCGAAUCCUCAUUCCUCUUUUUCCUCAGCAAGUUCUCAGGCAGACACCAUUCCUCCCAGCCGACGCUCUCAUCUACUCGACUCGACCGAUCGAACUGUGCUUUUUAUGGCCGUUUUCUGCGGAAUUUCGCCUUCUUGGGAUUUGGUGAAGUCGCCUAAUUGUAUAUGUUGGUGACUUGAAGAUACAAUAGGUGAAAUGCCUAAUGAGCUUUUACCACUGUAAGUUUUCUAGGAAAACAGGAUUCAUGUUGCCAAUCUCACAUAGUUGUGAGUCACAGUUGCUUGUUGUGGUGAUUAAGUUAUAACGAAG